AUUGAACGCUGGCGGCAUGCCUAACACAUGCAAGUCGAGCGGAGUGGCGGACGGGUGAGUAAUGACUAGGAAGCUGCCCUGUAGCUGGGGAUAACGUCCGGAAAGGGGAGCUAAUACCGCAUACUAUUAGAUGAGCCUAGGUCGGGUUAGCUAGUUGGUGGGGUAACGGCGUACCAAGGCGACGAUCCGUAACUGGUUUGAGAGGAUGAUCAGUCACACUGGAACUGAGACACGGUCCAGACUCCUACGGGAGGCAGCAGUGGGGAAUAUUGGACAAUGGGCGAAAGCCUGAGCCAGCCAUGCCGCGUGUGUGAAGAAGGUCUUCGGAUUGUAAAGCACUUUAAGUUGGGAAGCGUUACCAACAGAAUAAGCACCGGCUAACUUCGUGCCAGCAGCCGCGGUAAUUC
rnacentral:rRNA from 1 species